rnacentral:lncRNA from 1 species
GUUUACUCUUUUCACCCCCCCGCCUCUUGUCUUCUGACGUACUUCACAAGGGACCGCCCCUCCUCUGUCUCUCAGUCACGCAGCAGCUACGUGUGAGCGUAAAAAUAGAAACUUCCAAGAUGGCCGAGUCCGUAGGUUCCAUGCAUUUCUCAGCUAAUGGCAAAACAAAUCCCCCAAACCCCUUGGUACCCAAAAUACCGCCAGAGAGUCGACUACAGUCUUCCAAUGAUGUCUACCCUCCACCGCCAAAGAAAGUCCGAAUCGAGGAGAAGAGUUUGAAACACAAUAAAUUGAACGGGGACUUAGUGUGUGCAGGGGAAAAACACAACGGGAAGCAGAGUUAUGGAAGCCCAGCGAAAUGGAGUUUCGGCCCGGCCAAGCCGAGCAACUCCACCGCGCCAGCUCUCACACGAAAGAUCUUCAAGAUCAGCAACUUUCUCGCCUCUCCUGCGAAAGUGAAGAAGCCGAAUGAGAAACGGCACAAGGAAAAGGAGAAGAGUGCUAAAACGCAGAGUUCACUCAUGGAGAAAGUGAACCCUGGGAGUUGCCAUACAAAGACGGAGAACGGUGAAACAGCGUGUGACCACACUGGCAAAGAUGAGCAAGAGAAGAAAAAGGAGAGUGAUAAAGAGAGGGACAGGGAGAAGAACCACCAAGUUAUGGUUGUGAAUAAAAGGGAGAACGGAGAGGUGAAAUCUCCACUGAAAGAAUCAACAGAGAAGCCAAAAGUCAACACGGAGGACGAGCUCCUCUUGAAAAAGCUAAAGAAGAAGAAGAAAAAGAAGCACAAAGACUGCGAGAGGGAAAGACGCAGCCGUCCCAAGAUGUACCACCGCUCCAGUCAGACGGUGUGUUCUGGUGUGUCUGUGGACCUGCGGACCUGCUCAACACACAAGACAGGAGUAACUACAUCACCAAUAACAGUUUCUUCCACACCUUCCCAAGUCCCCAUCAGGAUCCUUCCAGCACCACCACUACUACCUCCGUGUCCACCUCCACUGCCUCCAUGGUCAGGGAGAGGUUGGGCUAUGGCUCCCCCCUCCACAGUGCCCAGUCCCAGGGCAUGUCAGGGCUGGAGUUUGGCCGUCUGAUCCACGUGGAGCAGCAGGCCAACGGAGGAGCCUCGGUGGCCCACGCCUACUGCCAGCAGCUGGCUUGUCUCUCCCCGGCCGAGAUGCAGCGCUCGCCCAGGAAUUUGUCACCCUGUCAUUCAGCGAGGACCAAGCUGAAGCGGCCCACUACGUCAUGGGCAUCAUCCAUGGAGCGGCCUCCUACCUACCAGACUUUCUGGACUACUUCUCCUACAAGUUCCCCAAUGCGCCGGUCAAGAUGGAGGUGCUGGGGAAGAAGGAUAUAGAGACCACC